rnacentral:rRNA from 1 species
CCUACGGGGGGCAGCAGUGAGGAAUAUUGGUCAAUGGACGAGAGUCUGAACCAGCCAAGUAGCGUGAAGGAUGACUGCCCUAUGGGUUGUAAACUUCUUUUAUAUGGGAAUAAAAUGUUCCACGUGUGGGAUUUUGUAUGUACCAUAUGAAUAAGGAUCGGCUAACUCCGUGCCAGCAGCCGCGGUAAUACGGAGGAUCCGAGCGUUAUCCGGAUUUAUUGGGUUUAAAGGGAGCGUAGGUUGAUUGUUAAGUCAGUUGUGAAAGUUUGCGGCGCAACCGUAAAAUUGCAGUUGAAACUGGCAGUCUUGAGUACAGUAGAGGUGGGCGGAAUUCGUGGUGUAGCGGUGAAAUGCUUAGAUAUCACGAAGAACUCCGAUUGCGAAGGCAGUUCACUGGACUGCAACUGACACUGAGGCUCGAAAGUGUGGGUAUCAAACAGGAUUAGAUACCCCGGUAGUC